UCAAUACUCCCUCCGUCCCAAAAUUCUUGUCUUAGAUUUACCUAGAUACGGAUGUACCUAAUACUAAAAUGUGACUUGAUACAUCCGUAUUUAGACAAAUCUAAGACAAGAAUUUUGGGACGGAAGGAGUAUGUU
rnacentral:pre_miRNA from 1 species